rnacentral:rRNA from 1 species
UACGUAGGGGGCAAGCGUUGUCCGGAUUUAUUGGGCGUAAAGCGCUCGCAGGUGGUUCGAUGCGUCGUGCGUGAAAGGCCCCGGCUCAACUGGGGGGUGUCGUGCGAUACGGUCGGACUGGAGGCCAGUAGGGGGAUGCGGAAUUCCGGGUGUAGUGGUGGAAUGCGUAGAGAUCCGGAGGAACACCAGCGGCGAAGGCGGCAUCCUGGACUGGUCCUGACACUCAUGAGCGAAAGCGUGGGGAGCGAUCCGG